ACGUAAGAGGGACAGAUAGACUCCCGAUCAAUAACUUUCACAUGAUUGACUGAUCAAUUGAUUGAUUGACUGACUGUUUGGUUGCUAGAUUGAUCAACAGUUACCAGUCUUUUGCUAGGUAAGGCUGAUCAAUGAUCACACUGAUUAUUGACUGACUGGCUGGCUGACAUGAUAGUUCCUGUGAGGUCCUUGGCCAGGUCUGGUUCAUGAUAAUAAUGAUAGUUAUCUGUGAGGUCCUUGGCCAGGUCUGGUUCAUGAUAAUAUUGAUAGUUAUCUGUGAGGUCCUUGGCCAGGUCUGGUUCAUGAUAAUAAUGAUAGUUAUCUGUGAGGUCCUUGGCCAGGUCUGGUUCAUGAUAAUAUUGAUAGUUAUCUGUGAGGUCCUUGGCCAGGUCUGGUUCAUGAUAAUAUUGAUAGUUACCUGUGAGGUCCUUGGCCAGGUCUGGUUCAUGAUAAUAUUGAUAGUUCCUGUGAGGUCCUUGGCCAGGUCUGGUUCAUGAUAAUAUUGAUAGUUCCUGUGAGGUCCUUGGCCAGGUCUGGUUCAUGAUAAUAUUGAUAGUUAUCUGUGAGAUCCUUGGCCAGGUCUGGUUCAUGAUAAUAAUGAUAGUUAUCUGUGAGAUCCUUGGCCAGGUCUGGUUCAUGAUAAUAUUGAUAGUUAUCUGUGAGAUCCUUGGCCAGGUCUGGUUCAUGAUAAUAAUGAUAGUUAUCUGUGAGGUCCUUGGCCAGGUCUGGUUCAUGAUAAUAUUGAUAGUUAUCUGUGAGGUCCUUGGCCAGGUCUGGUUCAUGAUAAUAAUGAUAGUUAUCUGUGAGGUCCUUGGCCAGGUCUGGUUCAUGAUAAUAAUGAUAGUUAUCUGUGAGGUCCUUGGCCAGGUCUGGUUCAUGAUAAUAAUGAUAGUUAUCUGUGAGGUCCUUGGCCAGGUCUGGUUCAUGAUAAUAAUGAUAGUUAUCUGUGAGGUCCUUGGCCAGGUCUGGUUCAUGAUAAUAAUGAUAGUUCCUGUGAGGUCCUUGGCCAGGUCUGGUUCAUGAUAAUAAUGAUAGUUCCUGUGAGGUCCUUGGCCAGGUCUGGUUCAUGAUAAUAUUGAUAGUUACCUGUGAGGUCCUUGGCCAGGUCUGGUUCAUGAUAAUAAUGAUAGUUAUCGGUGAGAUCCUUGGCCAGGUCUGGUUCAUGAUAAUAUUGAUAGUUAUCGGUGAGAUCCUUGGCCAGGUCUGGUUCAUGAUAAUAAUGAUAGUUCCUGUGAGGUCCUUGGCCA